rnacentral:rRNA from 1 species
AUUGAACGCUGGCGGCAGGCCUAACACAUGCAAGUCGAGCGGAUGAGUGGAGCUUGCUCCAUGAUUCAGCGGCGGACGGGUGAGUAAUGCCUAGGAAUCUGCCUGGUAGUGGGGGACAACGUUUCGAAAGGAACGCUAAUACCGCAUACGUCCUACGGGAGAAAGUGGGGGAUCUUCGGACCUCACGCUAUCAGAUGAGCCUAGGUCGGAUUAGCUAGUUGGUGAGGUAAAGGCUCACCAAGGCGACGAUCCGUGACUGGUCUGAGAGGAUGAUCAGUCACACUGGAACUGAGACACGGUCCAGACUCCUACGGGAGGCAGCAGUGGGGAAUAUUGGACAAUGGGCGAAAGCCUGAUCCAGCCAUGCCGCGUGUGUGAAGAAGGUCUUCGGAUUGUAAAGCACUUUAAGUUGGGAGGAAGGGCAGUAAGUUAAUACCUUGCUGUUUUGACGUUACCAACAGAAUAAGCACCGGCUAACUUCGUG